rnacentral:rRNA from 1 species
CCUACGGGAGGCAGCAGUGGGGAAUAUUGGGCAAUGGGCGCAAGUCUGACCCAGCAACGCCGCGUGAAGGAAGAAGGCUCUCGGGUUGUAAACUUCUUUUAUCAGGGACGAAGAAAGUGACGGUACCUGAUGAAUAAGCCACGGCUAACUACGUGCCAGCAGCCGCGGUAAUACGUAGGUGGCAAGCGUUAUCCGGAUUUACUGGGUGUAAAGGGUGUGUAGGCGGGAAAGCAAGUCAGAUGUGAAAGCCAUGGGCUCAACCUGGGGCCUGCAUUUGAAACUGUUUUUCUUGAGUACUGGAGAGGCAGACGGAAUGCCUAGUGUAGCGGUGAAAUGCGUAGAUAUUAGGAGGAACACCGGUGGCGAAGGCGGUCUGCUGGACAGCAACUGACGCUGAGGCGCGAAAGCGUGGGGAGCAAACAGGAUUAGAUACCCUAGUAGUC